rnacentral:rRNA from 1 species
UACGGAGGGGGCCAGCGUUGCCCGGAAUCACUGGGCGUAAAGGGCUCGUAGGCGGUCUGAUAAGUCCUGUGUGAAAUCCCUUGGCUUAACCAAGGAAUUGCGCCGGAUACUGGCGGGCUAGAGGCCGGGAGAGGGAAGCGGAAUUCCGAGUGUAGCGGUGAAAUGCGUAGAUAUUCGGAGGAACACCGGUGGCGAAGGCGGCUUCCUGGACCGGUUCUGACGCUGUAAAGCGAAAGCUAGGGGAGCAAACAGG